AGAAGAUAGGUUGGACCCCACUAAAUUCACUAUUGCAUACAAAGAUUUACUGGAAUAAACACCUUUAGACUCAUAUUGCCAGAUCAAAGAGUCAUCCUCAUGACAGAACUUAGUGAGUUUGAUGAUAUUAACCAAAUCAAACCACUGAAUCAUUAGUUCAUUACAAAAAAUUAUCCUAAAUGUACAUUUAAGUUCUUGUCCGUCCCGAAGCUUUGAAAUAGUUAUAUUUUUCUCAUUGAUCAAAUAGUAUAUGUCCCAAAAUUGGAUGGCGAGAGGUGCAUUAGAGCAUCUCUAGCACACCCCAUAUUUUUCCGACCCGCAUAAGUCGUUUACAGUUCGACGAAGCGGGAUUUUGCGGGGCGAAAUAGUGCGCUGUAGAAUAGACCCCGUAUAUGAAACUGUAUAAUUUGAAAAAAACUUUCACGGAAGAAAUUACAACCACACUGAUCUUUUAUAGUUCAUCACAUACUACAUGAUCAUACAUGCUACAUUCUACUACUACUACUAUAGGGGGUUGGGGAUCUCGCCGGAGCUAACUAUCCUACCGCACUAAGAAAAAUAGAGCUUACCAGAGCUCGUGUUGUAGUUGUCCAGCAACAGCGCGGGCAAAAGGUUGUCCGCCUCCAUCGGGGGAAGGAAGUCCUCCGGCCCGACGACGCCCCCGGCACGUCGCUCCGGCCCCGUCCAUCUUCACCAAGGGGAGCUCCUCUAGCUCCCUCUUCACCGGGGUGAGGGAGGAGUGCGAGCUCGACGCCUUGAAGGAGUUGCUGCUGCCGGAGAAGAGGCGGCCUCGCACACGGUCGUACUCCUCUGUCUCGCGGCGGAGGAGCGACGGUGGUGGCGACCGGCCCCAGCGCGUGUAUCGUAGGGCGGUGCGCUUCCGCGCCGCGUCGUAUUUGACGCAACGCACCCUCUCGGGGUCAUCGUUGCCAUGGCGACUGAAUUUGGUCAUCUCGAGCGAUGGAUUGAAGGGGCGAGGCGACAGAUUGGAGGUGCGGGCGGCGGAUCUAAGGCGUCGACGGUGAGGGGUGGGGAGUUUUCGCGGUGGCGGUGGGAUAGGGUUCGGACCCGUAUCCAGCAGUCGAACCCGCACAUAUAGCGGUCGGGGGUCUCGUUUCCGAGCCACUGUAAAAAAUGAUCCAAACACAUAUAAUCGCCCAAAUUUUAAAGUUUCGGCAAUUAUACAGCUCUACUAGAGAUGCUUUUACCAUACCAAAUGUCUCCACAAAACCGAAUAAGUCUACCAUUGCCCACUGCGCAUUUUCUACCGCACUCUCACUGUCUGGCAGUGCCCACAUGAAUGUCUUCCAGAAUUGAGAAGAGUUAUUAUCAUGACAACAUAGGAUAUUAGGCCACUUUCAAUGCAUUGGGUGCUAAGAUGAGGUACUAAACACAUUAAAUUAUUUAGUAACUAUAGUCUUCAAUGCAUAGUUGCUUAGCUUAUUGUAGCUAAGCUUCCUUAUUUAAUGCUUUCGCAACUAAAGUUGUGUAUGCAUUGGUGCAUUUCUUUCAUUUAAUUCUUUGACCUAGGUUCACGCACUUAGCAUUGUUUCUUCCUGGGUCACCACACUUAUCUCUCUCCUAUUAGUUAGCUUGGCACAUUAAAAAAAUUAUCUACGUGACAGCCUUAGCACCUGUAUAAGAUGAAGCAUUGGGAGUAGCCUUAGGGCUUUUGCUAUUAUACUUACUAUCUAUCAGCGUCCUCGAGAAAGAACCUUCCCCAGCUAUGUAUCUUUUCACUCUAGAACAUAUCAAACAAAUGUCCUAAAAUUUACAACCCCCAUACCUCCAAACUCCUUCUUCAUACAUAUAAAAGGUGAGUUAACUAAGUGUUUAUUAUUUUGUCCUUCGCUAUCACUUCAUUGACACAAGAGCCCACUUGGGAAAUUUAACAAAGGACAGAAAAUAUUUUUUCAGAUAGGGGCUCUCUAUUACUUAAAAGAUUUAAGCACUAUACCCCACCCAUGUAUAGCCAAGAUGCACACAACCAAACAAUGUCUUCUCAUACAAACGAGAAUAAAAGGCGAAAUACAAAGAAACAUGCAUAGUCCGUAUAAUGCAUAAAGCGAAAGGGGGGUGGAUCAUGCUGCCACCCAUUUUUGGAUAAAACUACCCCUCGUCAUAGCCUGUAAUCAUGUACACACCUUCGUAAAUAGCUGUCGAUUCUCCAGACGGUGUAGAGAGAACAAUAAACAAAGAACCCUGAUACAUCUCUAGAUAACCUCCAUGAAAAAAGUAAUUUUAUUGUUAAAAAAUUUAUCGUUUCUACAUAGUCAAACCGACCAAGUAAUAGCCAUAGCAACCAAGUAACUUUGACCCUAAGAAGUGUUUUAAACCUAUGAUCAGUCGAAUGUAGCCAGUUGCAAAUACAUUAGUAACACUACAUGAAGGAUACAACUUAGAUGACUGACCAUAUAAAAUGAGCCAAAUUGCAUUGAAAGAAUAAAUGUUCUGUUGUGUCACUAUGGUGACAAAAGAUAAAUUGCAGACUAUCUUGACAAUUCCUCUUAAUAAGGUAAUCUUUAGUAAGAAUGACUCCGCGACAAAGAUACCAUGCAAAGAUAUUAUUCUUAAGUGUUAUCUUCAUCUUUUAGAUCUUCUUGUCAUUAUCAACUAUCACAUAGGUUUAGCAGAAAUUUGAUGUUCUGUUCAGUCAUGAUCUCACUAACUCCACUUGUUUAUGUUUACCAUUGGGAAGGGAACGUUGGAAGGCGGUCAUGUGGUUGCUGUGAAAAGGCUGAGCGAGGACUCAGACCAGGGAGCAGAGGAGUUCAAGAACGAGGCAAUUCUGAUUGCCAAGCUGCAGCACCGGAACCUAGUCCGCCUUCUUGGCUGCUGCACCGAGGGGGCCGAGAAGCUGCUCCUACGAGUACCUUCCCAACAAGGGCCUCAAUGCCAUCCUCUUCGGUACAUAUAAUGUUUAAGUCAUCACAACCGAAAUUACUGCAUUGUUUUAGCUUAAGUUUCAUAUGACAUGUUUGCUGCAGACAGUGUGAAGAAAGCGGUGCUGGACUGGCCGACGCGGCUGGGCAUCAUCAAGGGGGUGGCAAGGGGGCUGCUCUACCUGCACCAGGACUCGAGGCUGACGGUGAUACACAGGGAUCUCAAGGCAAGCAACGUGCUGCUGGACGCCGAGAUGCGGCCCAAGAUCGCCGACUUUGGCAUGGCCAAGAUCUUCGGUGACAACCAGGUGAAAGCCAGCACCCGGAAUGUCGUCGGAACAUAGUGAGUUAUCUUAACACCUGUAAAGAAAAAGAAAUUCUUCUUGUUUCGAAUUUAUUUGUUCAAGUCCUUUUUUUUUUUUUGGUUUUAAGUUGGUACGCCAUUUAAGAAAAUGGUGGAACCUCUUAUGACGAGAAAGUAAUGUGUGGACAGUGGCUACAUUGCUCCUGAGUACUCGACGGGGGGCGUCUUCUCCGUCAAAUCCGACGUGUACAGCUUCGGCGUACUGCUGCUUGAGAUCGUGAGCGGCACCAGGAUAAGCGCAAUCGACGGCAUUAUGGAGUGUCCUAGCCUGACAGUCUAUGUAAGCACCUGAACAAAAACUGAUAGUGUCAAACCAAAUAUAUACUUGCAGUUAGUUUCCUUUUGCAGUACACCCCAUAUCAUGAUCAAAUCCAUAUUCAUCUUUUUAAAAGGCAUACACAGAUGGUUGAUUUGAUUGCUUCAUGUAGGCAUGGAGCCUGUGGAGGGAAGGGAGGAUAGGUAAGCUGGUGGAUCCAUCCAUGGCAGAGAGCUGUUCAGAGGAUGAGGCCAUGCUCUGCAUCCACGUCGGGCUCCUGUGCGUGGAGGACGACCCGAGCAGGAGGCCGCUCAUGUCGUCUGUCGUGUCCAUCUUGGAAAAUGGAAGCGCGCCAGUGGUGGCAUCGGCGUCUCUUCCAGCGCCGAACCAGCCAGGGUACUUUAAAAUGAUAGGAGAGAAGAGCCAGAGAAGCGAUCUCGAGAACACCAGGAACGCCAUGACCAUGACAGCUCUUCAUGGACGGUAGUAUAGCAGUUACUGCAGCUUUCAUCAGAAGGGAAGUUGCGCUAGUCCUAGUGUUCCGUUUCUUUCUUUUUUUUACCGGGGAAGACCCCUGGUUCAUAGAGCAUUUGUCACUGAUGGAAAUGAAAGGUUUAUUUAUAGGAGUGUCGAGUUUAUCAGCCUUGAAAUGAACUCUGUUGCUGAAUUGAAAUCUUUACCAUGUUAGACUGAAAAUUAUUCAAGCAGGUCGCCUCAAAUCUAUAGCUGACGACCAAAAGUGCGUUUUACAGAGGUAAGCACUAGCUGGCAUAUCCCCUGAAACCAAACUCUACUAAAAAAAGUUAGUUACAUUCCUAAUAACCAACCCCGGAUGACUAUAUUUGCUCCAGUCGCGGCCUUUGGACUAAAGAUAAGAGCAUCUCCAGCGUUCGGCCCCCUAAGGCCGUGAAAUAGCGCCGCCUGAGGACGCGGCGGCGGAAAAAACAGCGUGGGAGGGGGGGGGGGGGGCUCGGGUUCCCAGCCAUCGAUUUUGGUCCAUUUUCGGCGUAAAUUGACCCAUUUUCGGUGCAAAUUGGCCCACUUUCGGUGGUCUAUAAAACUUAGCUCGAUUACAUGAUCUAUCUCAUCUAAUCCCACCAUCAUUCAGCAAAUCUACAAAGGAAUUACUCACUCCCAGUGAUGAGCAUCAUAGCGGUGUUGAUGAAGAAGGGUUGGUGAUGACGACGGCGACGAAUCCACCUCUCCGAACCGCUAAACGGACUCCAGAUUAGCCCUCCGGGGAAAGAACAAGAGGUGGCGGCGGUUCCGUCUCGUGAAACGCGAUGAAAACUUCUUUCUAAUUUUUUUCUCCGAAGAUGUGAUUUUAUAGGACUGGAAUUAGGGUCGGAGGAGACACAUGGGCCCCACAAGGUUUCUGGGUGCGACCUGGGGGUGGCGUGGAGGGGGGGGGACGCCCUGUUGUCUUGUGCCCCCUGGCACACCUCCUCCGGUAGGUCUUUGCUCCAUAAUUCCUUAUAAAUACCAGAAAUAAUUCAUAAAAAAUUUCGUCCGAUUCCGAGAACUUCUAUUUCUACACAAAAAUAACAUCAAGGUAGUUCUGCUGAAAACAACGUUAGUCCGGGUUAGUUUCAUUUAAAUCAUGUAAAUUAGAGGUCAAAACUAGAGCAAAAGUGUUUGUAAAAGUAGAUACGUUGAAGAUGUAUCAUCGGUCAACCGCAGACUCAUCCGGCAGAGGCAGGCGAAGGCCGACACCCGCUUCGACGAGCUCGGCGCGGAUAUAGCGGCGAAGGAGGCCGCAUCGGAGCAGUCCGAGGGGGGGGGGAGCUGUGGCUACACCCCAUGUAUCCGCCAAUGGACACGUAGAUCGUUGAAAUCUUCGAUGAGGAGUGGUAGUUAGUUUUCUACGUAGUAGUACGUAGGUUUCUUUGGUUGGCGAGAUGUCUGGGCGCGUCCGGUCACUCCCUGCGGUUUAUUUGAGACGUGCCCGAUCACUCCGUGUGGACGCACCCAAACGCGGACGCAGGUGUUUGAGGGAUCAUUUUUUGCUAUCCUUGGUUGUAGAUGCUCUUAUGUUGCAGAUAUACACGGAAGUGAUACAACCGGACCAGGGUGUGGUACGAUGGUGCUGGCAUUGGACGCCGACAUUGUUUGUGGACGUCGUGGCCGAAGUGGCCAGCCUACGAGGCUCUUUUUUUACCAAGUGUUACUUAGUACUCCCUGUGUCCCGAAAUUUUUGUCUUAGAUUUGUCUAGAAAUAGAUGUAUCUGAAUACUAAAACGCGGCUAGAUACAUUCAUAUUUAGACAAAUGUAAGAUAAGAAUUUUAAGACGGAGGAGUACUUAGUACUUAGUUUACAAGGAAUUAAGCCAAUUACCGGUGUUUUUUACAUUCGGCCUACUCCCUUUGUUUUUCUUAAUCUGCAUAUAAAAUUUAAUUAAAGUCAAACAAUAAAAAGUUUAACCAAAUUUAUAUCAAAAGAUAUCAACAUCUGCAAUACUAAAACUAUAUGGUACGAAACUUAAUAUCAUGAUGCACCUAGUAAUCUUCAUUUCAUAUUAUGAAUGUUAAUAUCUUUUUCCUACUAGUAUAAAGUUGGUCAAAGUUUAUGAAGUUUAAUAUUAUCUUCGUCCGAAAAUAUUUGUCUUAGAAAUGAGUAAAUGGAUGUUUGUAUAAUCAAAAUAAAUCUAGAUACAUUUAUCUUUAAAAUAAUUAUUUCCGGACGAAAAGAGUAUUAAUCAAAUCUUAUAUACAUACUUAAAAAAAACGGAGAGAGUACGUGUCAAGCCACACGAAGACUUAUGAUUAUCUGACUCAAGGUAGCUGCAUGCGCCAUGAGCCAACCCCCUCCAAUCCCCCUUCUUGCUCGUCUCCCUCUUGUCUUGCUCCAGGGCGCGCUAGUAGAGUGCACUGUAGCGGCACGCCACCCCAGCUUGUGGUGGAGAGAGGUCUGUGCGUUACUUCCGUAAUAAUUUCCCGUAGACGACCCCUCUGGCUCAACUGUCGUUGUAGAACUAAGACGGCGCGUACGUAUGACGCGCACACACCGGAGACCGGACCAGUUCACCAUGGGUGCAAUGCAUGCCGAAGAGCACUAGUCAGUCGUAUGACUUCACAAAGUCGCGCCAUCGUGUGGUGUGGCUACGUCGCCUUGCAUUGCAGCCAAGAGCAACAAGGUUCAUGCACUGCCCUCACGAAGUGCCUGCACGCACCUUGAAUUUGCUCAAUGGACCUGCCGCCACGUUCCGCUGCCGUCCUCGUCCUCGCCGUCGUCGCCGCCUGCCUCCCGUGCAUGUCGGCCGAGGACCAGCUGGCCGUCGGGGACAAGCUCCUCGCCCGGGAUACCAUCGUGUCCGACAGCGGCGACUUCGCCCUCGGCUUCUUCUCCCCGGACGACUCACCCGCCGCUCCCGCGAGACGGUGGUACCUCGGCAUAUGGUACCACAGCAUCCCCGGGCCUCAAACCGUCGUCUGGGUGGCCAACCGGGACGCCCCAGCCGCCGGAGAGCCUACGCUCGCGCUGGCCAACGACUCCAGCCUCGUCCUGUCCGACGCCGACGGCAGCGUGCUCUGGACCACGCCCGGCGUGGGCACAUCGUCCUCGCAGCCGGCGCCAGCCGAGCUCGGGAACGACGGCAACCUGCUCAUCCUGCUGCCGAACGGCACGGUGGUGUGGCAGAGCUUCGACCACCCGACGGACACGUUCAUGCCGGGGAUGAAGGCCCGGCUGAGCCGCCGGACGGAGAGGCGUGACUGGAUCGUGUCCUGGACAUCCCCCCGCGACCCGGCGCCGGGCCCCUUCUCCUGCGGCCUGGACCCCGUCACGUCGCUGCAGCUGCUCAUGUGGAACCGCACGCGGCUCUAUUCGCGCACCCCCGUCUGGACGGGGUACGCCGCGUCCGGGACCAUCGUCAGCGCCGGCAUGGUCAUCAACACGGCGAUAGUGGUCGUGGGCACCGAGGAGGAGAUCUCCAUCACCUUCACAGUGUCCGGCAGCCCGACGCCCACGCGGUACGUGGUGACCAGCUCCGGCACGUUCCAGCUCCUCAGAUGGAACGGCACCGCGUCGGCCUGGGACACGCUCCAGUCGUGGCCGUCCAGCGGGUGCACCACCUAUGGCCGCUGCGGCGCGUACGGGUACUGCGACGCCACGGCGGCCCCGCCGUCGUGCAAGUGCCUCGAUGGGUUCGAGCCGGCGAUACCGGCGGACUGGAGCGCCGGCAGGUUCGAGCAGGGCUGCCGGAGAACGCAGGCGCUCCCGCCGUGCGGCGGCGGCGGGCAUGGUUUCCUGGAGAUGCGGAGCAUGAAGGUGCCGGACAACUUCUCGCUCGACGCCGGCAACCGGAGCCCGGAGGAGUGCGCGGCGAGGUGCGCCGGCAGCUGCUCGUGCGUGGCCUACGCGUACGUCGACCUGCACAGCAGCAGCGCGCGGCAGCUGCGGUGCCUGGUGUGGGCAGGGGAACUCGUCGACGCACAGAUGAUCGGCGCGCCCGGCCAGACGCUCUACCUCCGCGUGCCCGUUGCUGCAACGUCCACAGGUACGGCUGAAAGAAAAAGAACAUAUGCUUUGUUGUCCGAAACUUUGUCAAAGUUAUGAUGAAUGUUUACUGAAUUGAAAACAAAAAAGUGGGACAUGGAUAUCCAGUGAACGUUCAAUUUUCAAUGCUCGGCAAAUCAAACGUUUUUCAUCGCAAGUUGUGUUUCUUGAGGGUUAAAAGUUUAAUUUACGAGCAUGAAAAGUCCGUCUCAGUUUAUUUUUAUUAGAAAAUUAUUACAAUUGCAAGCUAUUUUUUUACAAGAAAGCCUUCGGGAUAUAGCUUUAUUCAACUUCAGAUAGUACUUACAUAAUCUGUUAAAAACUUCAAAAUGAAAUCAGGGGUGCGAGGCAGGAGGAUUAACACGUCUCUACUUAGGCCCUGUUUGAAACCAUAAUAGAUUAUGAUAAUCUAGAUUAUGAAAAUAAAUUAUAUAAUCUGGUUUAUAAAAAAAAUCUAGGUGGACAUGUUUGCAGACCAGAUUAUAUAAACUGUAAUCUAGGUUUUACAUUGCAUAAUAAUGACCCGUCUACCCUCUGUUUUUUAAAAAGAGGUGGAUGGCGGUGGUAGGAAUGUAAUUAUGUUUAACUUUGCAAGGAUAAUGGGUCAUUAGCAAUUCAUAAUCCGAUUUUACCUGGUGUAGAGUAGAUUAUAAGUUUUUAAUAAUCUAUCCAUCUAGUUUUUAUAAUCUACACCAUAAUUUGUCCUGUUUGGAGACAUAAUAGAUUAUAAAAACUAGAUUGUAUAAUCUGGAUGGUUCCAAACAAGGCCUUAGCUACCUCGUGAGCAACUAUGUUUAACUCCCUAACGGUGGUGGAGCUACAACCACAUCUUUGGGCGAGCUAAAACGGAUCAACUUAAAAAAUAAUACAUUAAUACAGUAUACAUCUGAAGUUUUGCUCUUAGGCCUCUCUCAAUGCUUCAUUUCGUAUAGGUGCUAAGGCUAUCAUAUAGACGAAAAAUCUAAUGUAGUAAAAGUAAUUUAGAGGAGAGAGAUGAAUGUGGUGACCUGGGAAAAAACAACGUCAAGCACGUAAACCUAGGCAAAACACUUAAAUAAAAGAAAUCCACCAACACAUGAACAACUUUAGUUAAUAAAUCAUUAAAUAAGGAGGCUUAGCUACAACAAUCUAAGCACCUAUGCAUUGAAGGCUUUAGUUGCUAAACUAUUUAAUGUGCUUAGCACCUAAUCUUAACAUCAAUGCAUUGAAAGUGGCCUUAGAGCAAGUACAAUAGUCCUAUUCAGUAGGCUACAAGGGAUUCCACCUCACCAAAAAUCUGAGCUGGAGGAGGGUAAAGACAGGAGAGAGAAGGGAACGGGCGUUGUCGUGGGUAUAAGCCUGACAGUAGAUGUGUAGGAUACGAAAAGGAUGGGCAGAGUCCUAGCUACGGCGAGGAUGUAUGAGUUCAGGCCCCUCUGCGAUGGAGGUAAUAGCCCUACGUCUCAGUUCUCAGGGAGCUUUGUUGUCGAGUGGAAUCAGGAAUACAAUGAGUUGCUAACCUCUUUACCAGUGGGGGAGGGUGGCUUAUAUAGAGUGCGCUGCCCUCCACAACGGUUCCGAUACAGGGGUGGAGUAGUGGCGAUUGAAUGUGUACGUUACAGGUAACCUACGCCCUAAAUGCCAAUAAAUGCACCUGGAAACGUACGACCGUUUCCCUCCAGGGGGUUACGAUGUACCGAGUGGUAUACAGUCGGUUAGCCUGAUAUGCUCCGAAUGCUAGUCUCCGACUGGACGAUCGAGAGUAAAUUACCGACUGGAUGACAGGGAUUCCUUAAUUCAGUCGGAGCUGACUAGGGGUCUAGUCCUUUGCGAGGGGUGGUCCUUGGAUAAGACCUACAGGGCAGGCCUAUGACCCUACCCUAGUACUAUAACCCCAUCAGGCGCUUCACUAGUCGCCCGGCUGCAGCACAAGACCCGAGAAAGUUUAGCCCACUUGGAGCUCGAAGCCGGCGACAGGGCCACUGCUCCCAAUCCCCUGCGUCUCACCAUCCAAUCAACUGCUUUUUUCCUUUCUUACCAUGCAUGCGAACAUUGAUUGCCCUGGCCUCAACAGCUCAUAUAAAGCCAACCUUAUUACACCAGACUUCUUCUACGAAGGCUAUUGUUGACAUGGCACCGAUAUACAGCCGGUAGCCGGCGUUUCUAUUAACCAUGCUCUUAGGGUCCAAAUUCAGCACCAGUCUUCAUUAAAUUUUCAUUAAGCUGGGUGGGCCAUGUCUGGUUUUGCCCAGCCAUAGCUCCGCCAUUGCUCCCUAAUUAAUACAAUGCUCGUAGUAACCUUACCAUGAUCACGAAAACAAUUUCGAAAAUCCUGACAACGCUGCCGUCAUCAUAGAAUGCUCGUCAUUUGAAUUUAAAGCUUGUACCACAAUGGGGUUACUUAAACUCACCAUUAGAUUGUUACAUCCACUGAUGUGUGCAAGUUUGAAACCUUCUAGAAACGUCGCGGCCUCGGUUGAGACUACACCCGCUACAUGUUCAAGUUUUGCGGUAGAAGCUGAGAUUCCGAAUGAUAUAUAGCUCUACAUGAACCAGAAUAAUUUUUCGUGCUUGCAUACUAAUUUUACAUCAUCAAAGAAUUAGCCAUGGACGGGGUGCGUGGAAGCUUGCUAUUCAUGUGCCAGAACCAUGAGUUGGUCGCGAGAUCUUAUGGGUUUCACCUCUAGCCUAUUUCAACGUGUUUGGGACUAAAGACUUUGUCGUCGUCGUUGUUGUUGUUGCUGCAUACUAACUUUGCAUCCCGGCGCCAAUAUAAAUUGUCAUAAAAAUUGUUUAAUUUGCCAUGUUUAAAAUUUGACGUAAGAUUCUUAGUCUUAUCGCCCUUUCAUGUGCAGGUGGAAAUGCAGUGAAAAUAGCAGUGCCGGUGGCAGCAUGUGUGCUGGUGCUCACAUGCAUUUUCUUUGCAUGGUUCUGGAGAUUCAGAGGUAUAGUUAUACUUUUAGCUCUAAACAUGUCAUACUAAAUCAUUCUUAGACAAAAUGCUCACAGCAUCAAUUUUACAGGCAAUUUUACAGACAAGAGGAGGAAAACCGAGAGCCAGAAGAAGCUAAUGACUGGCAGCGCGAACACCCCGAGCGAAGUCGGCGAAGGAGAUCACACUGGUGACCUUGAGUUCCCCUCCUUACGGUUCGCCGACAUCGUCGCUGCCACGGGCAAUUUCUCCAAGACAUUCAUGAUCGGGCGCGGAGGCUUCGGCAAUGUUUACAAGGUAUACUAACUUUUACCUCUCUUUCAGUCCUUCGGCAAGGUUUUCAAGGUAUCCUGUUUUGUGAGUUUAACACAAAAUUCACUUUUUUGUUUUACAAUUCGGAAGGGAACAUUAGACGGUGGACAUGUGGUCGCCGUGAAGAGGCUGAGCAAGGAUUCAGAUCAGGGAGCAGAGGAGUUCAAGAACGAGGCGAUCCUCAUCGCCAAGCUGCAGCACCGGAACCUGGUGCGCCUCCUCGGCUGCUGCACCGAGGGGGCGGAGAAGCUGCUCAUCUACGAGUACCUGCCCAACAAGGGCCUCGACGCCAUCCUCUUCGGUACAUACCAUAUGUUCAUUACAACUGAAAGUACAUAAUCUUUUUUACGAGUGAAAUACACCGUUAGUCCAUUGACUCAAAGAGUUCGUACAGUUUAUUAGGUAAGAACAGGCAAAAACUCAGGAAAUCAUCAAUUUACUCAUUAAUUUAACUAGUUUAAGUAAUCAGAUUAAGGACAAAAACGAUUCACCUUGUUUAAAGAAAUUCGAUUCACCCCCGAAAAACCACACACGUGGCUGCCAUAUCAUUGUACAUGUGUUCUAAAUAAGUUUAAUAACUAAAUUAAUCACUUCGUGAGUUUUUGGCCUAAACGGUACAAUUACAAACAAUUUAACUUAGAGCAUCUCCAACAGGCGCCCAAAAAAGCUUCACGCGUUAAAAGUUUAUUUUUUGGGCGCCGAACAGUUCCAACAGAUGCUGUAAUAUACUGCACGCGUUAAAAAGAUUUGGGCACGCGCUGAAAAACGCUAUCGCGCACAGCAUAUUUAGACGCCGGAUUGUGCGCCCUUUAUAAUUUGCACUGCGUGUUUUUUUUGUGCGUGUUUUUGCGCGUCUGCUAAAGCAAUGUUAGUCCUGACGCAUUAAAAGUGAUACAGCGCUAUAACUUUUAUUAGACGCGAAAUUUUUGUGCGGGUGUUGAAGAUGUUCUUAAUGGACGCAAUUCAUCUCUACUGAUUUUCAUUAUAGAAAACCAAUGGCUUAACUACUAAAAGAAGAAAAGAAAGAAGGACCACCAGACCCAAAUCCUUCACAGAGUGGGAGGGGCAGCAUCCCAAACUAAACCUGGGCAUAUCCCGGGCCAGGCUUUAGAAAACCCAAACUGAAAAUCUCAAGCCCGAGCCCGGUCCGAUCCGGUCAAAAAAACCAAUUUUCAGCCACCGAGCACGGCCCAAAUGGAUUAAAAAGAUGAAUUCCGGGUCGCGCCUGGACGGGUCGGGUCUCCGUGUAAAAUGAUGAUUUUCCAAAGCCCGAGCCCAUCCCAAACUAUUGCCCGAGCCUAGUUUCCAAGCUUGAACCCUUCCCAAACAUAAAGCCCGCUCCGGCCCGGCCCGGGUUUUUCGGGUCGGGUCACCGGGCAAUGAUCGGGCUGCCCAUGCCCAAGUUUAUCCCAAAUCAUGCAUAACUUCUUUUCUUCACCACCUCAACUUUGAAUAGCCCCCUCAACAAUCUUAAUGAAGCUCCGUUACUGCCCACCGGGACCAAAUUUUUGUCAUGCUUGGGGAAGGUUUUAAUCCAUCUAGAGAAACAAUCAUUUAAAUACACAGAAUAAAACAAACAUCAAAUGCACAUUUUAGUAAAUUCCACACCAAUUUAGCAUUAGAGUAGUUGAAAAACAUAUGAGCAAUGGUUUCCCCUGGCCAUUGAAGGCGCAUCCUUUCUCUCUUUUCCAUCUUCUUUUUAACAUGUUAUCUUCGGCCGGUAUACUUUUUCUGUUUACUAAGCAAACGUAAACUUGAUUUUACGAACAAUUUUAAUUUUCCACAAAAAAUUUCGUGGAAAUCCACAUCAGUCAACACCCACUUAAUUUGACCCUUCCGUCCAUACAUUUGGAUCUCCUCACAUCUGGCUUCCAAACUUUCCCAAAGAGUUAGGCUCUCUCUCGAGUCCCCGCAGAGUUCUUCAAAAGGAGAUAUCAUCACACCCCUUCUCAAUAGCAUCAGCUACCGAGAUAUCAUGGUUAAAGCUGACCAAGUAUAAUCUUGGAUAGGCUUCUUCUAGGCCUUGUUCGGUUGCCGUGGUUAGAUUCCACGAGUGAUUUCUAACCUCCUAGGGAUUAGGUGAUCUCCUACUUGUCACCCAAUCACCGCUAUUCCUCAUCCACAUGAAUCCUUCUGACCAAAACAUGUUCAGUUACUCCCUUUUCUAAUCCAUCCAUAUGAAUCAUUGCCCCUGUCAACGUCAGGUCAGAAUCGGUAGAGGAGAACGGGAAGAAGAGGAGAGGACAAGAAGGAGACGAGGCUUACCUGAUAGGAGAGCAAGGAGGGGUGGGGAAGUAUGUCGCCAUCAUCGCCUCCGGAUGGCCGCGCCGUCGCCGCCAAAUCGCGGGAGAGAGAGAGAGAGAGCCCGGGGAGACAUGGCUCGAUUUUUUUUCUUCCGACAUACAGAUUCGCCCAUCGGGAGGGAUUGGUUCCACGAGUAGAGAUGCGAGGAUUUUAUCCCAGACAGUUCCACGUGGUUUGAGAGGGAUUGGGCGGGGGUGUAGCCCCGACCGGGUUUAAUCCAACAAGCUCGUAAGCAGGCUGGGGUCGGAUCCCGGCCGGGCCGAAACCACGGGGUUCGGCGGGGAUUGGACACCAAUCCCGGCGGGGGAGGGGCUAACCGAACAAGGCCUUAGGGGUUUAUCAUCCAUCCAUCAAUCUUCCCAAAACCUAGUAUUUUUUUCAUCACCUAAUUUUUUCUUUACAUUGCUGAUAAAAGCAAUAUUUCAAUUCCAAAAUACUGGACCAGAAGUGAGAGUCACCCACUUCAGGUUUUAUACCAGAUAGACAAUUAUCUUUCACAUAUUUGUUAAUGAGGACUUCCCAGUUCCCACCAUAAUCCAUUUUCAGUUUCCAGUCUCCAAAACCACUUGGCUAGUAGGGAUUUGUUCAUUAAUUCUAGAUUUAUACUUGCUGCAGAUAGUGCGAGGAAAUCGGUGCUGGAUUGGUCGACACGGCUGGGGAUCAUCAAGGGCGUGGCAAGGGGGCUGCUCUACCUGCAUCAGGACUCAAGGCUGACGGUGAUACACAGGGACCUCAAGGCCAGCAACGUGCUGCUGGACGCCGAGAUGAGGCCCAAGAUCGCCGACUUCGGCAUGGCCAAGAUCUUCGGCGACAACCAGGUGAAAGCCAACAGCAAGCGCGUCGUCGGCACAUAGUGAGUAAUUUGAACACUUUACUGAAUUUACAGAGAGAAAAGGAAUUUUUUUGUGUUAAGUUGGUACAUAGCAUUUGACGAAAAUAAAGUGUGACAGCUCUUCUAACAAAAAAUGUGUGUGCCGACAGUGGCUACAUUGCUCCCGAGUACUCGACGGAGGGCGUCUUCUCCGUCAAAUCCGACGUGUACAGCUUCGGCGUGCUGCUGCUGGAGAUCGUUAGCGGCGUUAGGAUAAGCACAACCAGUGGCAUCAUGGAGUUUCCUAGCCUGAUAGUCUAUGUAAGCACCUGCAUUUACAAUUUUCUUCAGUACAGUCCUCUUUCUUGUGAUCGAAUCCGUAUUUGUAAUAGCAAGAAAAGGAACAAUUCAUGGUUGGUUUGAUUGUUUCAUGUAGGCAUGGCACCUGUGGAGGGAAGGGAAGGCAGGCAAGCUGGUGGAUCCGUCCAUGGCAGAGAGCUGUCUACAGGACGAGGCAUUGCUCUGCAUCCACGUCGGGCUCCUCUGCGUGGAGGACGACCCGAGCAGGAGGCCGCUCAUGUCGUCCGUCGUGUCCAUCUUGGAGAACGGAAGCGCGUCGGUGGUGCUGGCAUCGGCGUCUCUUCCGGAGCCGAACAAGCCAGGGUACGUCGGAAUGAUGGAAGAGAAGACCCAGAGAAGCGAUCUCGAGAACAGCAGGAACACCAUUGCCAUGACCGUUCUGCAAGGCCGGUAGCACAGUAGGGACUGCAACUUUCUUCUUCAGAAGGAAAGGUGCACUUAGUUCUAGCGUUUCAUUUUCUUUUCUUUUUUACCGUGGGAAAAAACGGAUUUGUAGAGCAUUUUUUACUGGUACAAAUGAAAUAUGUAUUUACAGGAGCGUUGAGUUGAUUUGAUGUGUCUUGAAAUGGAUGGUAUUGGUAUGAAUGUCUUGCUGGAUUUGAAUACUUUAGCUACUUGGAUGGACUUCCAGAAAAAAUUUCAGAGAGCUUCUGUAUUUGACAUUCAGAGGUUGAGAGAAACAAGUAAUUAAGCGGAAGAAGAAAGAUGCCUUGAUUAAUCUGAAAAAUAACCAGAUAUUACACAAACACCAUCUUUUUAGUGUACACACACCAACUCAUCAUCUCGACUCGCCCUCACAUGCAAAAUCUAUCAGUCCGGAAAGACAUGCAGCACAGCAGCAUCCAUCAGCAAUGAAGUUGUCGGCCAAGCGCGCGCGCGCGCGCUAGAGGUUGAGCUGACUGAGCUCACUUGCCGGGAACGAAGUUGGUGGCGAAAGCCCAGGCGUUGUUGUUGACGGGGUCGGCGAGGUGGUCGGCGAGGUUCUCGAGGGGGCCCUUGCCGGUGACGAUGGCCUGGACGAAGAAGCCGAACAUGGAGAACAUGGCGAGGCGGCCGUUCUUGAUCUCCUUCACCUUGAGCUCGGCGAAGGCCUCGGGGUCCUCGGCGAGGCCCAGGGGGUCGAAGCUGCCGCCGGGGUAGAGCGGGUCGACUAUCUCGCCGAGCGGGCCGCCGGCGACGCGGUAGCCCUCGACGGCGCCCAUGAGCACCACCUGGCAGGCCCAGAUGGCGAGGAUGCUCUGGGCGUGGACGAGGCUGGGGUUGCCGAGGUAGUCGAGGCCGCCCUCGCUGAAGAUCUGGGAGCCGGCCUUGAACCACACGGCCUCGCCGAACUUGACGCCGUUGCGGGCGAGCAGCUCGGGGAAGACGCAGCCGAGCGCGCCGAGCAUGGCCCAGCGGCAGUGGAUGACCUCCAGCUCACGGUUCUUGGCGAAGGUCUCGGGGUCAGCGGACAGCCCCGCGGUGUCCCAGCCGUAGUCGCCGGGGAACUCGCCGGUGAGGUAGCUCGGGGGGUCGCCGGAGAGCGGGCCGAGGUAGAGCACGCGGUCGGAGCCGUACCACGGGCUGCUGGACGCCGCCACCUUGGGCUUGCCCGCCGUCUUGCGCAUGGUGAUGCGGCCCUCGCCGAAGGGCGCCGCCCUGGAGGCCUUCACCGGGGUGCCGGCCAUCGCCGGGGAGGAGAGCGCCAUGGUCGCCGCGGCCGCCAUCGCUCGCUGCGUGCUAGCUAGCUAGCCUUGCUUCGAGUGAGCUGAGGCUGGCAGUGACAGUAGGAGGCGCUGGUGGUCGUUGGUGGUGAGGAGUGAAGCGGGAGCGCGCCGGGUUUAAAUAGGAGGAGGGAGCGAUCGGGUCCUUAUCCCGGGGAAUCUUAUGCCGAGUCGCCAUUGGCGCGCGGGGCGCGAGGCGGGCGGAUGGGGCGGCUGAGGUGGCCGCGCGGUGGCCACGGGAGCGGCGGAGGUCGGGAUUUUUUGCGGGGUUGUGGUGGAUUUGGCGCGGUGGAGAUGAGCCGCGAGGGCGACGGUGGGUCGCGGCCGCAGCCCACAUGGCCGCGUGUGGGGCGGCUCGCCGAUGUGGCCGCGCGCUGGCCAGGGGAUCUCCUGCUCACCGCGCCGGGCGGAAGGGGACGGAGGGCGAUGAGUUUGGCCGUUGCGCGCGGUGCAUUCUGAGGCGUGCCGCUGGCCGGAGGACCCCGGGAAAGAGAUAUCUGCCGUUGGCAGGUUGUGCCGGCGACCUACGUGGCCGACAUCUACUGGUUUCACGACUUCACGAGGUGCCCAAUCGGAACGGGUUCAGGACUAGCUCGGAACUGCCGUUUUAUUUUUCGAUUUGCACAUGCAUCAUGUAAAGAUCCUCUGCAAUGGUUGAAGUUUAAAAACUUUUAUCUUUAAAACCGUUAAUUCAAUCGAUGAUCUCUUUUCAUCGUUGACUUUGUCACGACAAGAUCUUCGAAACUAGAUCUCAUGUUGACAUGUUUCGACAAACUUUUUUUUUCUUCCAUAAUUGCUACAUUUUUCCACUCACUUGCUAUAUUAUUAACCACUUACUUGCUCAAUAAAAAUAACUUAAUUGCCAUAUUUUUUUAUGUCGUUUCGUGCAAAGAUUAUCGAUGCUUAUAAAUGCAGUCCCCAAAAUGUUUUGAUGUGUUUGUCAUUUUUAUUCUACUAAGUUGUCAUGUGGUCUCAUAAAAGCUUGUAGGUGCUUAUAAAAUCACAGUUUCUACAUAUAUUUUUUGUGCUUGUCAUUUUAAUCCUACCUCGUUAUCAUAUUGUCCCAAACAACUUGUGAGUCAUUGUAAAAAAAAUAGUUGUUACGGUGUUUGCUGUAUUUAUCUUUUGAAUUCUAUGCUCAAUUGUUAUGUUUUGUGGUAAUAAAAGGACAUUUGAUUGUUUUAAAACGUAGUUGUGCUAGUGUUGUGUUGUGUCGGUCAGUUAAAUUCUAUUAAAAUGAUAUGCUUUUAUAUCAUGUAUAAUAAAAUAUGUUACAAGGCUUUUGUACGAAAUAAUAUUAAAAAGUGACAAUCAAGUUAUUUUUUUAGGCAAGUAAGUGGUUACUAAUAUGGCAAGUGGGUCAAAAAAUAUGGCAAGUAUGAACAGAAAAAAAAAGUUGACGAAACAUAUCGAUAUGGGAUCUAGUUUUGAAGAACUCGUCGCGAGAAAGCCAAUGAUGAAAACGGAUCAUCGAUUGAAUUAACGGUUUUGGAGAUAAAACUUUUUGAAUUUCAAACAUAAAAAAGAAUCGCGGGUUGUCCUCCCGCCGCACGGCAAAGCAGCGCUGCGCAUGCUAUCAAUUAGAUUUUUCCUUUAUUUUUUAUUUCUUACCGGCAAAACGAUCCGUAUGUUGAAACGGAAAAAAAAUCAUAAUCUUUAAUGAACAUGAACAUAUUUUCCUGCAUCAUCAAGAUAAAAAAAUAUCACUCUCAUUUUCAUGAAAUCGUGGAUAGUUUUUAAAAAUACAGAACAUAUUAAACUCAUGAACAUAUUUGCAAUCGGGAAUAUGUUUCAAAUUCACAGACGUUUUUACAGAUUUUUGAACAUUUUCAAAGAUCAUGAACAUGUUAUACUAUUUUCACACAUUUUUUAAAAUAUAGGAAAAAUAUUAAACAUUUUUCCUGAAUUGGCGAACAUUUUUCUAGAACCGAAGAUCACUUUUUUGGAAAUUUGUCGGCCAAUUUCUGAAAUUCACCAACAUUUUUUUGAUUUUAAAAUUAUUUUUUGAGUUCCAUGAUCAUUUUUUGAAUCAGCGAACAUUUUAUGAAUCAUAAACUAUUGUGUAAUUCACGAUCAGUUUUUGAAUUUUCUCGAUAUUUUUCAAUUUAAGAACAUUUUUUGAAUUGUAUUUUUUUCAAUUGAUUAUUUUGUUAACAUAUGAACGUUGAUAACAAAUCAUGAUUUUUUUUUGGAUUUUCCGAACCUUUGCUACCAAAAUUAUGAAAUUUUUAUGAAUAGGUGUUAUUUAAAAUUGCAAAUAUAUUUUUUAAUCCACAGACGUUUAGAAUUAUUAAACAUUCUAUUACUAAAAAUGUAUUUAAAAAAUUCGGAAUUUGUUUGAAGUCCUGAAUUAUUUAAACUAGAAAGAACAAAGACGGAAAAGGAAAACAAAAUUUAGAAAAUAGGACACCCAGAUAUGGAUCAGCCCAAACAAGUGCGACGUGUUUUCUUCCAGCACACAGAGCACAGUGUAAGAGGUUCCUACUUGAUGGGCCAGCCCAAACGGGGAUUCCCUUUGUGAAAUGUUUGUUAUCACUUGUGGCAACGCUAGGUAAUAUUUUACAACUUUAAAGGUAAUUUAUGUGAUGCACCUUAAGAAGCACUAAUGCCUUUAUUAAUAUAGGUAUAUAUAUAUGCAACAGACUGUUUACACGUGCAAUCAAGUUUUGCAAGUCUUGGGCCUAUAUAUAUAUAUAUAUAUAUAUAUAGGCCCAAGACUUGCAAAACUUGAUUGCACGUGUAAACAGUCUGUUGCAGUUACUUUGGUUGUAGCCUAGAGAUGUGAAAUGUUAUUUCAACCAACCAGAAGAGAGUGCUUGAUACUUGUGAUCUGCAUUGAGUUUUUUAUAAAGAGGAAUGGAUGAUGCAUCACAGUAUAAAUGGUAAAUUGUAAUGCGUGCUCAAGUUCCGCAACACACCCAAUACAAUGACAAAUUGCAUAGGCGAACUAGUUCGGCGAAGAGAUGUGAUACAAGUGUAGUAUGGAUAGUAUAAAUAUAUUUUUAUAAUCCGAAUAAGUAAAAAGAGCGAGGCAACAAGUAGUAAACAACGAGAAAAACGGUAUAUUAAUGUUGGAAUUAUGCCCUAGAGGCAAUAAUAAAUAUAGUUAUUAUUAUAAUUCCUGUAUCAAGAUAAUAGUUUAUUAUCCAUGCUAUAAUUGUAUUGAAUGAAGACUCAUUUACAUGUGUGGAUACAUAGACAAAACACCGUCCCUAGCAUGCCUCUAGUUGGCUAGCCAGUUGAUCGAUGAUAGUCAGUGUCUUCUGAUUAUGAACAAGGUGUUGUUGCUUGAUAACUGGAUCACGUCAUUGGGAGAAUCACGUGAUGGACUAGACCCAAACUAAUAGACGUAGCAUGUUGAUCGUGUCAUUUUGUUGCUACUGUUUUCUGCGUGUCAAGUAUUCAUUCCUAUGACCGUGAGAUCAUAUAACUCACUGACACCGGAGGAAUGCUUUGUGUGUACCAAACGUCGCAACGUAACUGGGUGACUAUAAAGAUGCUCUACAGGUANNNNNNNNNNNNNNNNNNNNNNNNNNNNNNNNNNNNNNNNNNNNNNNNNNNNNNNNNNNNNNNNNNNNNNNNNNNNNNNNNNNNNNNNNNNNNNNNNNNNUCCUCGCCUCUAGCUCGCGCACCCCUCGCCGGAGUCGGCACCAGAGAGCUUCACCCAGGAGCUCCUCCAUCGCCCCCCCCUGCACGCUUUCCCCCUGCCGAGCCCACCUCACCCCGCCACCACCUCCCCACCACUCGGCCCCCUCCUCCACCACCCCUCCACCCCGCUGCUGCUCCUCCCCAUCACCACUACCAGGCAGCCAGGAGCUUCCCCGUCGGCUCCCCCACAUGCAGGCUCCCUCCUCCCCCUUCGGCCCUCCCCCCAGGAGUCUCCACCGGCCCCUUCCCCACCCCUCGCCGGCCCCUACCCCACCCCACCGGAGCUCACCCCGUGCACCCCCUUCCCACCUCGGCCACAAUAGCCAGCCACGGGAGCAGCUCCAGCCACGGUAAGGCUCCACUCCCCCUCCUGUUUCUUUUUUGUUUUUAUGUAGUAGCCCUUAGAUCCAUAAUCUACGGUGUAGAUUAGGAAGUACUUACCCCUUCGGUUUUCUAAAAAGAACCGGUCCAUCAGUUAAGUGAACCGAAGCAUUUUCUUAUUUAGCGGCCAUCCGCUGUUUAGUCUAUGCAGCAAACACCCCUUAGCCAAUCAGGGACUGCCACGUAGUUAGUUAGCUUUUAUUCUGUUUUUUUUUCAGAUUUAGUUCAAAAACAGAAAGUUCCAAUCUUGUUUAGCCCAUAACUUUUGAUCCCGAAGUCCAAUGAUAGUGAUUCUUUUUCCAGUAGCUCACAAAGUUCCUGUAGUUUCUAAAAACAUAUAAUUUGUAUAUGUUUGAAAUUUUCGAAUAUAAGUUAGAUCAGAUUUAGUUUAAACAUUGUUUUGCCUAUUCCAGGAGUUUAAAAAUAUCUUUUAAUCUGAUUCCUUUUGGUACUGAUCACUAGUGAUCCUAUUUAUAAGUGGUAAAAAUUUCCAAUUUGUUUGAGUAUAUUAGCUCACUGUUUCUUGUGAAACAAUUUCUGUUUCAUCUCUUUUAGGAUUUCGGCUAAUUCCUUUUCUACUUUUGUUUUAAAAUAUUUUCUUUAUUAUUUCAGAAACAUUAUUGUUUUGUUUAUGUUAGUUAACAGUAGUUUUGGAACAAGUUUUUAUUUUAUUUUUAUUUGUUUUCAUGAAAUCAAUUCUAGUUCCUUAUUAACUUGCAAUUGGUUUCCGCACUGUUUCAAAUCCCGUUUGGGAAUACUUUCAAAAAGUUUUGUGAAAAAUACUUUAUUUUAUCUUAGUUAAACUUAUAUCUUAGUUCCUUGUUAUUAUUUUCUGUUAGACAAAAACUAGUUAGUGUUUGAUGUAGAAGAAGACUCCUAGUUUAGUAAAGUUUCUUUCGGAUUCUUAUUCGCUCUCUCUUUUGUUUUGAUUGCUAGAAUGAUUGCUAGUAUGAGUGCUUAUGUGAAUGAUAUGUUUGUUAUAUAGAUUCCCUCGGAGAGUGACGAGUAGUCUAUCAAGUUAUUUUCUCGAGAAAUUCUUCUUCGUCAACAUCACCAGGCAAGUCACUUUGAUCAUACUAUCACCUAUGUUUUAUGCAUCGUAGUUCUACCAUCCUAUGCCCAAAUUGCAUGCUGCUUAAGUACUUGGAAAUUUUAGUAUAGGUUGUAGUAUCAUGUGGUAGGCACCCAACAACCCCGAUACUUGGCCCCGGGACGACAAAUUUCAUAUUGCUAUGCUUGAGGAGACGGGAUUUCGGUUGAGUGCAUAACACAAGUGAUGCGAGGUUGAUUAAAUAAUCAAGACCGGUUAAGACAAGAUUUUCAAGAUCUUGGACACAAUGCAACUCUGGGUGAAGGACGGUUGAUCGGCUCCCUGGAGAACCCAGUGGAUGACCCGGGAUGCUGGAGAGGCCAUGACAUCCUGCGGAAAGCUUCACCCAGGCUCAAAGAGACGGACGGAUAUUUUCAAGACCCAAGGCUUACCUGCACAGCCACAAGUCAUUAUGGGCUCUGGCUUGGUUGGACAACGCGGCGACUCUGGACAGGCGGUGCUAGCAGAUGUAGAAGAAUGGUAUGAAUGGAUGGGCACCGACAGGGAUUCAGAGGGACCCGUUGAAAGACCAUGUUUUGAUCAUCCGGUCUUCAAACACCCUGAAGUGYGAGGACAUACACGGAGGCGAUCAAAUCUUGUGGGGAACGUGUGCAAAACUCUACAGAGUACUCAAACCUAAUCGAUUAGCCGUGUCCACGGUCAUGGACAACUUGAGCCAAAGGAACUGAAGUUAUCUGGAUUUCUCAACACCAUUAUAUAUAUUUGAUGAGGGUAAUUAUUGACAACUCGGGUACGAGAACUGGUUGGCGGAACCAUCUCGUUAACAACCAACCUUGUAGUAAUAUUUUUCUUUUAGCCCUCUUGAUGUUGGAGAAAACUUGCUUUUCGCUAAAAAACUUAUAGCCCCAGCUGCCAUAAAUGCAUAUAGUAUAGAUGAUUACUUUUCACCCCUCUCUUAUGKGACUUGCCAGCAUAUUCAAUAUGCUGACCUACACGGCURCAACAUCUUAUGUUGCAGAUAUUUUUCUUCGAUGAGUAAGAGUACGAUUCAGGGUUACGGUCAACCCUCAACUUGCCGUUGGUGUUUAUUGGGACUCCACUCCCUUGACUGCUUCCGCUGAGAUAUUUAAGGUAUACAUCAGUUUUACGCUAUUUACAUGUGAUUGCACUUUGAUAUAUACAUUGAUGUACUCUGUGUGCCAGCAUACUGAUCCACGGAUGGCACAGAAACACAGAGGCUUGACUCGUCUUGAGUCGGGUCGCUACUGAAAUGGUAUCAGAGCACAUAUUGACUGUAGGACGUGACCCUAGAAACUAGAAAUUUCUUAGGAAAGGAUCUCUCAAAAAUUUUAUUUUCAACAACACCUUUUACUUCUCAUCUCUUCUGAUUUCAUCGAAUGUUCCCUCUCACCUCAAAUAGUUAGACAAUACCCUUACCCCUUUGACCUCAUGAAUAAUCAACGGAGUUCUACUUCAAAUUAAAGAGGAUUUCCUCAUGCAAUUGAAGCUACACCAAUUGAAGACUCUCAAGACCCGAAGAACUUGAAGACCCCGAAACGUUCGAAUAUUUAUAUGACCAUUAGAAGUCCAAACCCCUGUUAUAUACCCACGUUAGAUACGAUGAUUUGUGAGCCGUCAUUGGUGUGUGUUUUUCGAUAGCCACAAAUAAAACCCAUUCUCAAAAAUAUUGUUUGUAUUGUGUGUAUCUCCCUCCCUCUCUUACCCGUCUCAUCCCCAAAACCUCAACCCUACCAGAUGGAGUAUGAAGCUGGACUUGUAGUCUCUGGACCAAUGACCCAGCUAGAGGCUGAAAUAUGGACUCAGAACAUGGAGAACCACUUCGGGAGCAACUUGAUCUCAAGGAAGUAUGAAGUGGAACACGCUCUCUAGUACUUUACCCAAAGUGCUGCAAUCUGGUGGAAAAUGCACCAUGCCAUACAAGGAUUUAGUGGAGCAGAAACCUGGGACGAAUUCAAGAACACCCUGUUAAGAUCCCGUCUCAUUCGGAAGUGCUAUGAUAAUCCGAAGGAGAAGACUUGUGCAUGCAAGAUCUAUGGAGAAAUAGGACACACCCAGGAAGAACACAAGGAUCGAUGCACUCAUUGUGAAGAAAAUCACCCAGCUGAGGAGUGCCCAAGUAGUCAGGUGACUUGUUUCCUUUGUGAAGGAACCACCCACUACCCAGCUCAGUGUCACAUUUACCCCAAGGUGCAACAGGUUGUCAAGCAGCAGAAAGAUGCAGUGAAGGAACCCCUCAAGAAGAAGAUUCUAGAAGAACCGAUGAUGAACGAAAAUAUUGAAGACCCUGAUGGACAAGGUCUGACCAGAUUUUUCUCCAAUGCAUGUUACUCAUGUGGAGAAGAAGGACAUUAUUCACAGGAUUGCACGAAGGAAAGCCAAGAGUAGCUGGGAAACUUCCCGACGGAAGAAGUGGAGUUUGAUCCACUUGAAAUAGAAGAACUGGCCAAAAUAAAGGAGUCCAGAAAGAAGAAAAAGUACCCUCGGAAGAACCAAAUCUCUGCAGACAUAGACCUGAGUCAUGUCAGAUGUUACAAGUGUAUGAAAUUUGGCCACCACAAAUACAUGUGCUCAGGAAGGAAGCCGGAAAUCCAAGGAGCAAAAGAAAAAGCUAAGAGGCCUCGAGACUUGUCAGAACUCAUUUGCUUUCGUUGCAAGGAAGCAGGACAUUUUGCUAGCGAUUGUCCACAAAGGAAGAAAGCUAAGAAGGAGUAGUUAAGUUUUGACCGCGGCACUUAGUGUAAUAUGAAUAACUCUUGUUUUUCAUGAGAUCAUGGAGUGAAAUUUUGUAAAGAAGUCCCUGAGAUUGUAAUAACAUCAUGAAUAAAUGGAAUUUAUUGUCUCAUGAUUGCCUAUGUUGAAACUGUAUGCGUUGUUUCUCUGCGAACAAAGAUCUCUGAACAUUUAUGAGGAUAUGAGAAAAUAUGGUCUAUGCAUGCAUGAGUAUUAUUCAUUUUAAGUGUGGUAGUAAUCGGUAAACCCACAGGAUCCACUGAGUAGGAAUGUACCAUGAUUACCAAGGAGACACAUACAUUCCUCUGAGUACCUAUUUACUGACACCUACAGAUGACACCUCUCUACGAGUCAUUCCUCAAGGGCCCAGAAACGAUCAUGACCCUGACCAGUGACCAUGAUUACCCGAAAAUCCUGAAGGACAUGAUGAAGCACAUUCACCUUGAAGGAGAUGCAGUCUACAAAGGCUACCCAUUUAUGGAAAAUUGAGUGGAACUUUGGUACGUGGAAGUACACCUCCACCAUGUGAAAGGAGUUUGUCCAAAGACUAUGGGGAAAUACUUUUUCAUUUCACGUGUACCGCGAGCAACCUUCUUUGAUGCUGUUCGUGAAGCUGCCAUGGAAGCCAUACGUCAGAUUGGAGAAAUACUUGAAGCAAGACUCCGUCAUACCCAGGAAUACCUGAGUGAGGUACGUGCGUAGAUGAUGGAGAUGAAGCUCAUGACCACCAUGAUGAAGCGAAAGAUGGAUGAUUUCAAGGAGUACCUCGGAAAGUUCGAGUGGAAGUACCUCCAAGAGAGACAGAUGAAUAAAGUUGGCAGAAAUGCUUGACCAUACCGAACAAUGUGGAUGGCAGCAUUUGUAAUAAAUUACUUUUGAGUUAGAAUUUUGAAGAAAGCAAGGAUGUAAUAAAGGAUAGAUUAUGUAAUGAAUAUGAUUUAUGGAAGAAGCUAUGAUGGAUCAGCAAACGUUUUCUUAGGAGCAUACGAAAGCCAGAGAGUUGUGGAGAUACGAUAGAUGUUUCGUUCAGCUUGCAGAACCAAUGGUUUAUCCGAACUUCGUUCGUGGACAAGAGAAACUCUGCAACGCUUGUGAGGAUGCCCAAGUGUUAGAAUGCGAGAUUCGCUAAACCUUAUACAGAGAAAUGAUUUGGGUGCGGAAUGGAUCGAUCACCAUGACGACUUACUCUUAUCAUUUAUCUUGCUAUUCAGAAUGGUAAAUCUGAGAGACUUACCCAUAUAGAGAGAUGACGUUCUUUGAAGCUUUUGUUUAAGACUUAGAGUGGUAUAAGAAAAGCCCAUGCACAUGGCACUUGUUGACACGCGUAGGAAAUUUUACGAUGAGAAUGAAACCAAGACCCCACUCUCUGCAAGAUAACCACAAAUGGUAUACCACCAUGAGAACCAUCGAUAUGUUAUUUAGAAUUGACCGCGAGACUGUCAGUUAAGAAGACCCAGUAAAGGAAGAAGCUUAUAUCAACGGAAGAACUCUCGAUUUUGAUGGAAAACGUUAUGAAUGUAACGAAAGAGCUUCACCAGAGGAGUUAGUAUGAAGACUGUGAGGAGUCAGAUGCCAAAACCCCACCGGAUUGUCAAAAAUCUUAUGGGACAAGUAAUCUUCAUUUUAAGUGUAGUAGCAUCCCACUUUGCUGGAAGUUGGAUUUGUUAGAAGACCCCCAAACCCUAACGUUUCUUUCUAGCCUCUUCGAAUCUCGAGGACGAGAUUCAUUUUAAGUGUGGUAGGUUUGUAACAUCCCAAAUUUUGGAAUGUUAAAAUAAUUAUUAGAUUGUUUGUUUGUUUGCUUGAGUGAUUGAAACUUGUGUGAAAUUUGAAACUUUUCAAAAACUUUUGAAUGAUAGGGAAUAAAAUGACUUUCCCCAUCUCUGAUGAAUUCAAAUUCAAUCUUUUAAAAGAAAAGAGAGAAGAUGACAUGACUUCUUCAACUAUAAAGAAUUUGAACGGAGUUUGCAUUUGAAUCCUUUCAAAUUAUUUGCCCUUGCUUCUAUAUUUUUCUUCCCCGAGAAAAUGCCCCGACAAAAUUCUUGCACGCAUGAAAGAGCGGAGGAAAAUGACCCUCCAAAAACCAGGGCCAUUGAUUGAAAUAUUUUGAGCCAAGAAAAAACCAAAAUUUAAUUUGAGAAAAUAAUUGCAAAAAUAAAUAAUGCUUUUAGGGAUUUUUUGGAAAAACAUUUUUUUAAGUUUUCAUUUUGGCCGUUGAAAAAUGCCCAUCAUUUAGAUUUUAUUUUUCUGAUAAUUUUAGUAUAUAGAAACCUUAUAUUCCGAAUUGAUUUGAUUUGCCUUUUAUCGUUUUAGUUUCCUAGUUUUGAAAAAGGAAAGAAAUCGUGUUUAAAUGGAAAUAAACGGUCGCCCAUUAAAACCUUUCCAAAAACUGGCCCAACAGGAUCUUCUUCUUCCUCUAUCUCCUUCCUCACGUGCAUAGGACCUUCCUUAGCCAUGGACAGAGAAAUCCUCACUUCCGGAAUUCGCGAAGUUCUUUCCCUCCUAGCCUCUCCCGUCGCCCCUAUAAGAAGGCCCCGGUCCUCCUCGUUCCAUUCCCGUUGGAAUCGCCGCCUCUCCCCACCUCCUCCCCCCCCCCUGUGGACCUCGGCGGAGUCGGCCACAGGAACUCGCCGGCGACCUUCCCCAUCGCCCCUGCACCCCCUCCCCACCCCACCGACUUUCCCCAUCGCCCCUGCACCUCCUCCACCACCCCACCCCGUCGCCCCCCUGCAUCCCUCCCCAUCCCCACCGAGCUCCCUGCCAGGAGUUCCCCG
rnacentral:lncRNA from 1 species